rnacentral:lncRNA from 1 species
GGGUCUCCGCUCUGGUAAGCUUAUGCUCUCCUCUCAAGACGCAUUAAAGCUUUCCUGCAGAAGGAUCCGAGUGUCCCGUGUAUGAUUUCUUGCUGGCGAGAAAUACAGAGAGCGCGCGGGACAUAUGGUGCCGAAACCCGGGAACAUGUGAACAUUUCCAGCACCUCGGAGACCCCUCUAACGAGGCGGAUUCAGAACUGCAGGGUGGUAAAUUCGGAGAGGAUGAAGAGAAUCCCCUGUGGAUCCCGGAAAGACUCACCCGAAGAGCCCCUUUGGACCCUCAAAAGUCGGAACUCCACCCUCUCCCCGGGAGUUGAGAGCCGCUAUUAUCCAGAUUAACUCCUGUCCUUGACGGAGGGACUGUCAUCAUGGAUUGCUUCAGCUGUCUCCUAUUUUAAGGAAAUGGGUGGGGUGGGAUUGUUUGGUGCAGCCGUUUGCUGCGGAUUGAUGUUGCUUCUCUGGCUGGUCUGUAAGCUCAGGGCUCAAACUAAGAGAGACAAGGUGGUUAUCGCCCAAGCGCUUGUAGCUUUGGAACAAGGAAGCAAUAGGCCGCUGGCCAGACAGCUCUUGCACACCCGGAGCCUGGGCUCAUUGCACAGGGUAGAGUGCCUGGCUUGAGCAGCCCAUGAGGGAUGCUGAGCAUAGGCAUCGCACAGAGUUGCCUAUUAUACAGGCUUCUCUGGGAGGUACGUUGUCCUGCAUAAGGGUUCAACCUCUGCCUCUAUCCCUCAACAUAUGGGUGACCUAUUUGCUUGUAAAAAUAUAAAGCCUUAUCAUUAAUUAAUAAAAAAAGGGGGAUCUGUAGGGAGCCGUCCCUGCAUUCUCCAUUACAAGAUGGCGCCUGCAUCCGGCAGGCACCGAAUGUAAACAAGAUUAUUGCGCAGGCGCUGGGUAAAUUUCCAUUCCUUGAUCUCUGCCUAUUCCGUGGCGUCAUAUGGCCGGAUGAGCUGCAGCCA